rnacentral:rRNA from 1 species
GACGAACGCUGGCGGCGUGCCUAAUACAUGCAAGUCGAGCGGAUCUUCAUUAGCUUGCUUUUGAAGAUCAGCGGCGGACGGGUGAGUAACACGUGGGCAACCUGCCUGUAAGACUGGGAUAACUUCGGGAAACCGGAGCUAAUACCGGAUAAUCCUUUUCCUCUCAUGAGGAAAAGCUGAAAGACGGUUUCGGCUGUCACUUACAGAUGGGCCCGCGGCGCAUUAGCUAGUUGGUGAGGUAACGGCUCACCAAGGCGACGAUGCGUAGCCGACCUGAGAGGGUGAUCGGCCAGACGGGGAGUGAGACACGGCCCAGACUCCUGCGGGAGGCAGCAGUAGGGAAUCUUGCGCAAUGGACGAAAGUCUGACGGAGCAACGCCGCGUGAGCGAUGAUGGCCUUCGGGUCGUAAAGCUCUGCUGUCAGGGAAGAACAAGUAUCGGAGUAACUGCCGGUACCUUGACGGUACCUGACCAGAAAGCCACGGCUAACUACGUGCCAGCCGCCGCAGUAAUAC